rnacentral:rRNA from 1 species
AGAGUUUGAUCCUGGCUCAGGACGAACGCUGGCGGCGCGCCUAACACAUGCAAGUCGAACGAGAGAUGAGGAGCUUGCUCUUCAAAUCGAGUGGCGAACGGGUGAGUAACGCGUGAGGAACCUGCCUCAAAGAGGGGGACAACAGUUGGAAACGACUGCUAAUACCGCAUAAGCCCACGGCUCGGCAUCGAGCAGAGGGAAAAGGAGCAAUCCGCUUUGAGAUGGCCUCGCGUCCGAUUAGCUAGUUGGUGAGGUAAUGGCCCACCAAGGCGACGAUCGGUAGCCGGACUGAGAGGUUGAACGGCCACAUUGGGACUGAGACACGGCCCAGACUCCUACGGGAGGCAGCAGUGGGGAAUAUUGCACAAUGGGGGAAACCCUGAUGCAGCGACGCCGCGUGGAGGAAGAAGGUCUUCGGAUUGUAAACUCCUGUUGUUGAGGAAGAUAAUGACGGUACUCAACAAGGAAGUGACGGCUAACUACGUGCCAGCAGCCGCGGUAAAACGUAGGUCACAAGCGUUGUCCGGAAUUACUGGGUGUAAAGGGAGCGCAGGCGGGAAGACAAGUUGGAAGUGAAAUCCAUGGGCUCAACCCAUGAACUGCUUUCAAAACUGUUUUUCUUGAGUAGUGCAGAGGUAGGCGGAAUUCCCGGUGUAGCGGUGGAAUGCGUAGAUAUCGGGAGGAACACCAGUGGCGAAGGCGGCCUACUGGGCACCAACUGACGCUGAGGCUCGAAAGUGUGGGUAGCAAACAGGAUUAGAUACCCUGGUAGUCCACACCGUAAACGAUGAUUACUAGGUGUUGGAGGAUUGACCCCUUCAGUGCCGCAGUUAACACAAUAAGUAAUCCACCUGGGGAGUACGACCGCAAGGUUGAAACUCAAAGGAAUUGACGGGGGCCCGCACAAGCAGUGGAGUAUGUGGUUUAAUUCGACGCAACGCGAAGAACCUUACCAAGUCUUGACAUCCUGC